UACGUAGGGUGCGAGCGUUGUUCGGAAUUACUGGGCGUAAAGCAUGCGUAGGCGGUUUGGUAAGUUAGAGGUGAAAUCCCGGGGCUCAACUCCGGAAUUGCCUUUAAGACUGCAUCGCUAGAAUUGUGGAGAGGUAAGUGGAAUUCCGAGUGUAGAGGUGAAAUUCGUAGAUAUUCGGAAGAACACCAGUGGCGAAGGCGACUUACUGGACACAUAUUGACGCUGAGGUGCGAAAGCGUGGGGAGCAAACAGG
rnacentral:rRNA from 1 species